rnacentral:rRNA from 1 species
CCUACGGGAGGCAGCAGUGAGGAAUAUUGGUCAAUGGACGCAAGUCUGAACCAGCCAUGCCGCGUGCAGGCAGACGGCUCUAUGAGUUGUAACCUGCUUUUGUACGAGGGUAAACGCAGAUACGCGUAUCUGUCUGAAAGUCUCGUACGAAUAAGGAUCGGCUAACUCCGGUCCAGCAGCCGCGGUAAUACGGAGGAUUCAAGCGUUAUCCGGAUUUAUUGGGUUUAACGGGUGCGUAGGCGGUCGGAUAAGUUAGAGGUGAAAUCCCGAGGCUCAACUUCGGAAUUGCCUCUGAUACUGUUCGGCUAGAGAGUAGUGGCGGUAGGCGGAAUGUAUGGUGUAGCGGUGAAAUGCUUAGAGAUCAUACAGAACACCGAUUGCGAAGGCAGCUUACCAAGCUACUUCUGACGUUGAGGCACGAAAGCGUGGGGAGCAAACAGGAUUAGAUACCCUUGUAGUC